rnacentral:rRNA from 1 species
UACGUAGGGGGCUAGCGUUGUCCGGAAUCAUUGGGCGUAAAGCGCGUGUAGGCGGCCCGGUAAGUCCGCUGUGAAAGUCGGGGGCUCAACCCUCGGAUGCCGGUGGAUACUGUCGGGCUAGAGUACGGAAGAGGCGAGUGGAAUUCCUGGUGUAGCGGUGAAAUGCGCAGAUAUCAGGAGGAACACCAAUUGCGAAGGCAGCUCGCUGGGACGUCACUGACGCUGAGGCACGAAAGCGUGGGGAUCAAACAGG